UACGAAGGGUGCAAGCGUUGUUCGGAAUCAUUGGGCGUAAAGCGCGCGCAGGCGGAUUAGUAAGUCAGGUGUGAAAUCUCGAAGCUCAACUUCGAAACUGCGCCUGAAACUAUUAGUCUAGAAUGUCGGAGGGGGCAGGGGAAUUUCACGUGUAGGGGUAAAAUCCGUAGAGAUGUGAAGGAACACCGGAGGCGAAGGCGCCGGCCUGGACGACUAUUGACGCUGAGGAGCGAAAGCGUGGGGAGCAAACAGG
rnacentral:rRNA from 1 species